rnacentral:lncRNA from 1 species
UUAUAUGGAUUCUUUACUCUUUCAACUUUCAAAUCUAUGGACUCAUCACUUCAAAAUUGAUGGCUUCCAGUGGGUCCGGAUUCGUAUUUAAAUUAGAAUUAAAGCUAAAAAAAUUAACAACAAAUUUUUUAAUAUAUUAGUUUUUGUUGAUUUGGUGGAAGGUGAAUUGAAUCGCACUACAUUCUUACACGUAUAUAUUUAUGACUUUAUGGUAAAAAAACUUUCAGGGAACUUCAGAAGUUUUUUUAUCAGAGAAAUGUGAGAUCAAAUGUUUAUAGAGUAAUCUUGUUUUUGCAAUUGAGUUUUAUCGAUGGAGAACCAAUCAAGAGUGAAAUGAAUCAUCGAUGAAGAGGAAGUUAAGAAUAAAAUAAAAAUUAAAAAAUGCCCAAAAACUAAGAAAAACAAAGUAAAGUUAAAUGAAAAAAAAGUUGUAUUAAAAGAUAGGGGAAUGUUCACUGAUUUUCAUAUAUCAAAACUGGCUGGUUUAUUGUUUGAGUUUAAAAUCUUUGUACUAAUAGUGUAAAGUUUACACUAUCAGCAC